rnacentral:rRNA from 1 species
AGGACGAACGCUGGCGGCGUGCCUAAUACAUGCAAGUCGAGCGAACCGAUGAAGAGCUUGCUCUUCAAAGGUGAGCGGCGGACGGGUGAGUAACACGUGGGCAACCUGCCUGCAAGAUCGGGAUAAUUCCGGGAAACCGGGGCUAAUACCGGAUGAUGCAUUUCGCUGCAUGGCGGAAUGCUAAAAGGCGGCUUCGGCUGUCACUUGCAGAUGGGCCCGCGGCGCAUUAGCUAGUUGGGGAGGUAACGGCUCCCCAAGGCGACGAUGCGUAGCCGACCUGAGAGGGUGAUCGGCCACACUGGGACUGAGACACGGCCCAGACUCCUACGGGAGGCAGCAGUAGGGAAUUUUCCGCAAUGGGCGCAAGCCUGACGGAGCAAACCGCCGCGUGAGUGAGGACGGCUUUCGGGUUGUAAAACUCUGUUCUUCGGGAAGAACGGUGGUCGGGUGAAUAGCCCGAUUGCGUGACGGUACCGAAGGAGAAAGCCCCGGCUAACUACGUGCCAGCCGCAGC